rnacentral:rRNA from 1 species
UAGUAGCUGGUUCCUUCCGAUACAGUACCGUGAGGGAAAGUUGAAAAGAACUUUGAAGAGAGAGUUCAAAAGGGCGUGAAACCGCUUAGAAGAAAACGGACGGAGCCGUCGGGGGCCUUCGGGAAUCAGUCGUAUGAUGCGCGAAUUCUAUCGCGAUCUCGGAACGCAAGUCCGAUCGUGUUGAUUAAGUAGCGUUCGUUCGGCGCAUUUCUCGAAGGUAAGCACCGCGACCGAUACGAAAGGCCGGCGAAGCGGAUCGAUUGAGGGCGAGUCCUCGUAAGGGGACUCGUAACCAGUCGUUUCGUCCAUUUUGAGUCGUCGGACCGCAGUAUGUAUCGAGCGCACGAGUCUAAUUAGAUACGUCGGCGUAAACGCUCGCUCGAGUAACGGCUAUUCGGCCAAUCGGUUGGUAUCUAUUUAUAGGUGCCGAUCGUAUUCGGUCCGAUUAUAAAGUUAUCGGCGACAUUCGACGUAUCGGCGUCCGCGGUGUCAGUGUCGGCCACCCGUCCGACCCGUCUUGAAACACGGACCAAGGAGUCUAACAUAUGCGCGAGCUAAUGGGUGGAAAACCCAAAGGCGCAAUAAAAGUAAACGCUGUUUCGGACAGCCGAGGUACGAUCCUUGAAAACUUCGUUUUUCUUGGCGCAGUACCGUCCCGUCCCGACCGCAUAUCGGUAGGGCGGAGAUAGAGUGCAUACGUUGGGACCCGAAAGAUGGUGAACUAUGCCUGAGCAGAGCGAAGCCAGAGGAAACUCUGGU